rnacentral:rRNA from 1 species
GCCUACGGGCGGCAGCAGUCAGGAAACCUUUACAAUGCACGAAAGUGUGAUAAGGGGAUUCCAAGUGCUUAUGCUUAGCAUAGGCUUUUGCCAAUUGUAAAAAGAUUGGAGAAUAAGUGGUGGGUAAUACCGGUGCCAGCCGCCGCGGUAACACCGGAGCCACAAGUGGCGAUCCCAUUUAUUUGGUCUAAAGCAUCUGUAGCUCGUUUAGAAAGUCUUUUGUGAAAUUGUUCAGCUCAACUGAACAGCGUGCAAGAGAUACUACUAAACUUGAGACCGGGAGGAGAUAGGAGUAUUCCAAGGGGAGCGGUAAAAUGUUAUAAUCCUUGGAGGACUACCAGUGGCGAAGGCGCCUAUCUAGAACGGUUCUGACUGUGUAGGAUGAAAGCUGGGGGAGCGAUCUGGAUUAGAUACCCUUGUAGUC